rnacentral:lncRNA from 10 species
GCAGAAGGCUGAGAUUGGCUGAGGGAGUCAUGAGCGAGCAGGGGCCUCUGGUGCCUGAAGCGCCCCUCAGGAAGAGCGGGUCUCACCGGAAGGCCACACUCAUCUCCUUCCUGGUUACCCAGUGUGGGGAUUUGCUACUUUGCUGAGUGUGUUUUGUCUACAUUCAUGGUGCUCCAGAACUGUGUCUGUGUUUCUCACAUUCUCUUUCGUGUCUGCCAGAGCAACAUUCUCAGCAAACCAUCUGAAUGCAACUCCUGUGAUCACAAAAGUCAAUCACUGAUGGAAAUGAAGACCACGACCCUGAUUCCUCAGGUUUUCAUCUGUCACUAUGUGCUAAAAGCAAACCAGCAAGUGAGGGUGUCACUGUCAACUGCUCCUUGUCGUGAGAUUCCCACCUUUCCCUCAAGACAUCUCAGAUAUCAUAUGUAACCUUGACCCUGUGUCCCACAGCAACAGCGGUCAUUGAGUGUAAAGCCUUUUCCUUGAGGAUUGUGGUAGACAGAAUGCCCCCCAAAGGUGACUAUGCUUGAAUCCAUGGAAACUGAACAUGUCACCUUCUAUGGCAAAAGGGACUUUGCAGACGUGAUUAAGGUUAAAGACCUUAAAUUAGAGGGAGUACCCUGGACUAUCCAGGUGUCUAAUCUAAUCCCAUGAGACUUCAAAUGCAGAGAGCUUUCUCUGGCUGGAGUCAAAGAGAUGUGACAAAAGAGGUCGUCGGAGAGAUUGGAAGUGUGAGAAAGACCCGACCUACUGUUUCUGGGGAGCCCACCUGGAAAGCACGAGAAGGGACACAGGCAACCUUUGGGAACAAAGACUGCCAGCCACAAGGAAAAGACAGCAGUCCUCUAGCCACAAGAAACCGAAUUCAGCCAGCAACCUGGACAAGCUAGAAGAGCAUUCUUCCCCAGAACCUUUAGGAGGAAGUGAGGCCUUGCAGAUACCCUGAUUUUGGCUUUUGAGACACUAAACAGAGGAUCCAACUGAGUUCAACUGGCCCAGAAACUGAGAUAUGUUUGGACUGUUUUAAGUUGCUACGUUUGUGGUAAUUUAUUUUGGUGGCAACUGAAAAUGAAUGUAAUUGUAUAUUAGAAAAAUUGAAGGUAGAAGCUCUAAUACUUUCUCCCCACACCCCAGUGGUUCAUCAUGUGCAGCACUCAGGGUGUGGAAAUUCCAUUUUGAAGACACCGUCUUCCAGGAUUCUAACCCCCACCUGGGAAAGGUCCUGGAGAGAACUUCUAGCAUGUAUUUCUGAGCCAUUCACAUUUAACCCAGAGAGAGAAGGUGUCCUGCCCAAACGCAAAGCAGCAUGGCGGUAGUUCUGGACAUAACCUUAACAAUUGCCAGGAACUCUCUGGAUGUCCAUCCAUCAGCCCUAUCUAGUCUUUUUGUCUGCAUGGCAUUGUGGGGGAUGUGGCGAUGAGGGCCAGGAUCGCAGAAGUCAGAGUACCCGUGGCUGGAGCUUCCAUUUUAAAUGAAGUGUUCUUGCUUAUGGCUUGAUGGUAUCCUUUCAGAUUUUGCAUCUGGCUGUACUCCAGAUGUUUAUAUAGAAACUUCACAGUAGACAUGAUGGUGGCGUAGGUUUGCAGGAAGGAUCCUUUCCUACUUACAGAGUGACCCAAUGUGGCCGAUCCCUUCAAUAUUUACAACAGCUGGGUGAGUGGAGGCAUGAUCAACUCCAUUUACCCGUCAAAUAAAUGAAAUUUCAGAGCGGUUACACAAUCUGCUUGAGGUAACAAGGCCAGCAAGCCACAGAGCCAACAUACCCCUGGUGCCUGGCUCCACAGGAGUCUGGGAAGAGGGAGAGGAAGAUGGGGACAGGAUGUAUCACCAGGAUGCUAGGGGAAGAGAGAAUAUUGACGUGUGGGGCAGCCUGCAUCCCCAAAUCAGGAGCACUGGGUGCUGCUGUGUUACAGUGAGUGUAGGAGCAUGCCGUUCUGGGCUUCACUCUGCCCAAAUAUGUCUUGCUCAUUUUCACCGCCAUAUGGCUGCUCGUCCCGGUCUGUUUGAGGUUCCUUCCUGUUCCCUCUCUGCCUCUAAGUCCUUCAAAAAGCCAACUGGAAGUGCCUCUUCCAGGCUUUCCUUAGCCUUUCUUUAUUCCCUUGAACUUCUAUUAUGUUAAUUGUUCAAAAGAUUAGUUCUGACACUUACCCUAUGCUGCUUUGUAUUACUAUUGGAAAACAACAGUAGCUCUCUCAACCCAUUGGGUGGAUGGUACAUGCCAUGCUUUAUACAUUCCCGUGGCCCUGCUGUACCUGGCACACACAAAAGGGGAUUAAUAAAUAUGCAUAUGUUGAAUGAAAGAAUGGAG